UAGAGUUUGAUCAUGGCUCAGAUUGAACGCUGGCGGCAGGCCUAACACAUGCAAGUCGAGCGGUAACAGGAAUUAGCUUGCUAAUUCGCUGACGAGCGGCGGACGGGUGAGUAAUGCCUGGGAAUAUGCCUUAGUGUGGGGGAUAACUAUUGGAAACGAUAGCUAAUACCGCAUAAUGUCUUCGGACCAAAGAGGGGGAUCUUCGGACCUCUCGCGCUAAGAUUAGCCCAGGUGAGAUUAGCUUGUUGGUGAGGUAAGAGCUCACCAAGGCGACGAUCUCUAGCUGGUCUGAGAGGAUGAUCAGCCACACUGGAACUGAGACACGGUCCAGACUCCUACGGGAGGCAGCAGUGGGGAAUAUUGCACAAUGGGCGAAAGCCUGAUGCAGCCAUGCCGCGUGUAUGAAGAAGGCCUUCGGGUUGUAAAGUACUUUCAGUCGUGAGGAAGGGUGUGUAGUUAAUAGCUGCACAUCUUGACGUUAGCGACAGAAGAAGCACCGGCUAACUCCGUGCCAGCAGCCGCGGUAAUACGGAGGGUGCGAGCGUUAAUCGGAAUUACUGGGCGUAAAGCGCAUGCAGGUGGUUUGUUAAGUCAGAUGUGAAAGCCCGGGGCUCAACCUCGGAAUUGCAUUUGAAACUGGCAAGCUAGAGUACUGUAGAGGGGGGUAGAAUUUCA
rnacentral:rRNA from 1 species